UUAAUUGGAACAAACGAAACUCUACAAUUGUCUUAUGAGCCAAGCAUCAACAAAUGAUGAAGAAUGGCAGAAAUGAUGCAAGGCCGGAUUUAUGUCGAUCAAUUCCGUUCCUCUGUGUUUUCAGUUCGAAUUCUUUUUAAGUUAAAUUAGCCUUUCAGCCUUCCAAGAUCAAUAAAAAAAUUAUUUACCAGUCAUAUUCUAGGGUCGAUUCAAUCGACUACAUCCAUUCCUCGAUAGUCGUGGCACCUGACAAUCUGUUAAUUGGAAUUUCUUCCGUUCUCUUUGCGUUCUGAGUUCAAAUACUGCCGAGAUCAAAUUUGUCUUUCCUCCUCCCGGGAUCGAUUAACUAAAGAACCAGAUAAGUACUAGGCUUGUUAUAAUCCACUGACCCUUUUACCCCUAAAAUAGCUGGCUUUGUGCCACAAUUUGAACAAUUACAAACCAACUCAAAAUGCAGUCGAUGAUAACUUGCUAAUUACGUCGCAUGUGUUGUUUGUUGCUUCUCGAACCAUGCCUAACUCAUAAAGGCCGGUUUCCCGGUUUCUUUGUCGUAUAGGUUCCCCACUUGGACGGGACGCCGGUCCGUUGCAGGGGAGCUGCUAGAUGCAGGAGGAAAGCGCGAGAGAAAGUUGUGGCGAAAGAGUCAGCAGAGGUUCGCCACUGCCCUCUGCUGGAGCCGCGUGGAGCUUAGGUGUGUCGCUCGUAAACAGACACAUCGCCCGGUCUGAAUUCGAACCUGCGAUCUCUCGACCGCAAGUCCGCUGCUCUAACCACUAGGCCAUGUACCUCCACACGUCGCAUGCUUUUACUAAUUAUUUUAGUAUUACAUGUAGACGCCUUUUCCGUCUCCCUAUCUCUGAUCCAGCUAAAAAUCCAGGAUGUGACAACUACAGAGAAGAACACUGCAACCAGCACUGGGAUGGUAAUUUACGGUGAUUUUUCGUUUUAUGAACAUAUAAUGGUAGACACCAAACUGAAAUGAAGUGAAACGGAGGGAACGGAAAUCAUAAUCGUUAAGAAUCGGUUAUAAAAUAGAAGUGAAAAGUAGAAGAUUUAUGUGUUAAAGAGAAUGAAGCCCAUCGGAUAGUCACAGCAAAUUGCUGGAUUGUGAUUCAACCGCAGCGAUGCAGCAAAACUCACUGGUCGAUUGAGUAUCACAAGAUAGAAGGCCUAUUCCUAGAUAUGUCAUAGGUCUAAAUGUGUGGCAGUUCUAUUACUAGAUUUGUGAAACUAUCAUUAGAUGGCAGAUACAGUACUGUUGGUAGAUCUUUCUCACUAGAUACGCAGCAGAUCAUUCCUUUCGUUGCGAUUACGUCCAACACCAGUUUUACAGACGCUUUCAAUGUCACGUCAGCCAUUAUUUCAUGAAUAGAUAAACAGUAAUUUUCGCUUCAUUUUAUUAUUUCAAAUUAGUGCCGAUUUAGUAACGAUUAUAUAACAUUCAGAAGGUGGCGAGCAGGCAGAAUCUUUAGUACGCUGAACAAAAUGCUUUUCUUCCGGCUCUCUACGUUCAAAUCCUGCCGAGUUUAACUUUGCCUUUCAUCUCUUUGGGGUCGACAAAGCACCAGUCAAGUACUGGAGUCAAUGGAAUCAACUAGUCUCCUCCCCUCGAAAAUUACUUGUUAUGAACCCUGCAAUGGACCGAAGGUCCGUUCAAAAAUACUUCAUCUCGGUCAGUUAAACGCCCUGGCAACCGAGUAACCAGCCCGGGAGUCCUAAGGUUCGGCAGACAAUAAUAUUACAUUCUGUCGCUUUCACUUAUUCUAUUUCUUCUCAUUUUGUUGUUCGCCUUUGAAUUGUAAGAUCGCCUGCUUUACUCAUUGGCCCCGAAAUGAUGAAACGCAAAGAGGACUUCGACACAGAGCGUAGAGAACCAAAAACAAAAACAGUUUGGCAUUUUUGCCUGAUUUUGUAACGAUUCUGCCAAUUACAAUUGCAUUUCUUCAUACGCUUUAUUUUUUUCUUUCUUUUUACCGUGAAAAUAUAUAAGAUAAUAAAACAAAUUUGUAUUAAAAUAGAAAUGUAUCAGCUUUAUUAUUAAAGAGAUAUUACUAAAAUUAUUUCAUUACUAUUAAAAAGAACUUUAUUUUCCAAAUAUAUUUUCUUGCUUUCGGGUAUGAUUUGAUGAAGAUUUAGUUACUAUUUCUAGAAGCUCGAUGAGUAAAAAGUAGCCUCUUCGUUGGUUUGCUGAAUGCAAUGACUGUCAGCUAAAGUGAAUACGGAAAUAUUCGCAUGAAGAAUUCUGCUUGAAGGUCGUUGCUUGAAGAACGCCAUCCGAAGCAGACUGUCCGAGAAACACUGCUUUAUAAGAAACGCUGCCAGAGCAACGUAGCUGCACAGUGAAUGAAAAAUGUUGUUUGUUUUGCCUCUGUGAACAGUUUUGCUGAUUUCAAGAUAACAUAUUCAAGUUAAUGCCCACUGUUAUGCUUCUCUUUCGACCUUUCUUUACAUCUACGCUGUUCAUCUAUCAACUCUGACAUGCAAUUUCCUGCAUUAACUAAACAGGAACACGAAUUAUUGAAUCCCGAAUGGGGACUAGAUUUUACUCACCAAACUAAAAUGAAAAUGAAAAACAUUUAUGCUAUUUUUAAGCGACUAACGGACUUCAGUCGUGUUUUCAGUUAACAGUCAGAUUAUUUUGGUAUUUAGAAACUGAUGUUAUAUAACAAAAUUUUGUUGUUUUAAACUGACACGAUUAUACGCUUCUUUAUAUUUUACUUUUAAAACUUGGACUGAGUGAAACUUCCACAAUAAUUUUGACUGAGUAAACAACAAUUAUUUAAUAUUAAGGCCACUUCAAGAGCACUUCCUUCAUGUGUUAUGAGCAGCGCUGCAGGUUUAACUGAUGGAAACAGCUGCUAUUCAUCAAAUGACAAGCCAUAGAACUUGUGUAUGGGAUGUGAUGGAAUUUACAAUUAUUUCAAAGAUGUUUCAGUUUUAGUUCUUUGUUUUGUCUUUCGUUCUGAGUUUUUUUUUUCUCCCUCAAAUUACUGUUAAAUGUAUGGUUAUUUCCGUUGUUAACAUGUUUUCGUUUAUGAUUAUGCGAAUGAGGAGCAAUGAAAAAGCCGGAACACAAGAAUGGUAAACAACAGAACAAACAAAAAUAACGGUUUUGAUAUUGGGCGUUCUUAAAGUCGCAACAGUUAUUGCAGAAACAAAUUUACUUUCUGAUUGUUUUUUUCACUCUUGUACUUCAAAAAGCUAAAAUUGUGAUGAUAGUACAUCUAUCCUAGUUUGGUGCCAAAAACUAGUGAUAAAUGAAUCAGCGAUAAAGGAAUCAUUUCCACGCACUUUGUAAUUGGAACGAAAAGUAGAUUCAUCGACACCAAAUUCCCGGCUUUCUGCAGCGAACCUUCCAGUCUAUUUUCUUGAUCCUCUCUACCUUUUCACCUAAAAAAAUCCGCUCACCUAUGUCGUUUGUUAGAAUUUGCUGCCAUGUUAUCACAGAUCAAACCGUGAUGAACGUAACAUGGCCCGCAAUGAGCGUACCGUGUUAUUUCGAAUCAGCGAUGAACAAAUGAUUGAUAAAUGAGACUAUAUUUUCGCCUCCUUCGCUUCGUCACUGAAAUACAAUCCACUCACAUGAAUGAUUCAGAACAGAUGAUAUGGUAUAAAUAGACGACGACUGUAGCAUCACAAGUUGAUGAUAAACAUUAAAACAUUCGUAUAAAACAGCCAUCAUCAAACAAUCAACAAAUUCAAGCGCUGAGAGGCGCUGAGGGACGCUGAGGGGCGCUGAGGGGCGCAGAGGGGCGCUGAGAGGCGGUUAAUAGACAGACGAAGCUCAAGGGAAUGCCAAAGGGGCGGAGCAAAACUAUGCGACAAAAAAAAUGUUUAUGUUUACAUAUCACCAAUAAUUAGAGGAAUGAGGCAUAAAGACAAACAUUGCCCAGAGUGAAAAAAAGAAUCUGCAGAAUAUGAAAGGCAAAGUACGACUAGAGAACCAACCGACCGACCAACCAACAUUCAUAUCGGUUAUUAUUAAGUAGAGAUUGUCUCACCUUCUAAAAGUUCAUAUAAUUUAUGUCAUACUACAAUUUUCCUUCUUUUUUUUUUUUCAUUUAUUGAAUCGUGUGUAGAAUGUAUCAUAGAUUAAAACAGGUCAGUAAAUUAAUUAUAUCAUUAA